UACGUAGGGUGCUAGCGUUGUUCGGAAUCAUUGGGCGUAAAGCGCGUGUAGGUGGCUAGUUAAGUCGAUUGUGAAAUCCCUUGGCUCAACCAAGGAAGUGCAGUCGAAACUAACUAGCUCGAGAAUGGUAGAGGAAGGUGGAAUUCCGUGUGUAGAGGUGAAAUUCGUAGAUAUACGGAGGAAUACCGGUGGCGAAGGCGGCCUCUGGACCAUUCUGACACUGAGACGCGAAAGCGUGGGGAGCAAACAGG
rnacentral:rRNA from 1 species